AUUGAACGCUGGCGGCAUGCCUUACACAUGCAAGUCGAACGGCAGCACGGGAGCAAUCCUGGUGGCGAGUGGCGAACGGGUGAGUAAUAUAUCGGAACGUGCCCAGUCGUGGGGGAUAACGUAGAGAAAUUUACGCUAAUACCGCAUACGAUCUAAGGAUGAAAGCGGGGGACUUCGCAAGGAGCCUCGCGCGAUUGGAGCGGCUGAUAUCAGAUUAGGUUGUUGGUGGGGUAAAAGCUCACCAAGCCGACGAUCUGUAGCUGGUUUGAGAGAACGACCAGCCACACUGGGACUGAGACACGGCCCAGACUCCUACGGGAGGCAGCAGUGGGGAAUUUUGGACAAUGGGCGAAAGCCUGAUCCAGCAAUGCCGCGUGCAGGAAGAAGGCCUUCGGGUUGUAAACUGCUUUUGUACGGAACGAAAAGGUCUGCCCUAAUACGGCGGGCCCAUGACGGUACCGUAAGAAUAAGCACCGGCUAACUACGUGC
rnacentral:rRNA from 1 species